UAAGAGGUCCCGCCUGCCCUGUGACCCUGGGUUCAACGGCCGCGGUAUUUUGACCGUGCGAAGGUAGCGCAAUCACUUGUCUUUUAAAUGAAGACCUGUAUGAAUGGCAUAACGAGGGCUUAACUGUCUCCUUUCUCAAGUUAAUGAAAUUGAUCUCCCCGUGCAGAAGCGGGGAUGCGCCUAUAAGACGAGAAGACCCUAUGGAGCUUUAGAUAUAAAGUAAAUUGUGUUAAAACCCCUUUGAUAAAAGGAUCAAACAAAUCAAACCUUACUCAAGUAUCUUUGGUUGGGGCGACCACGGGGAAAACCUAACCCCCGCGUGGACUGAGGGCACACCUCCCUUACAACCACGAAUUUCCAUUCUAAGUAACAGAACUUCUGACCAGAUAGAUCCGGCACAUGCCGAUCAACGGACCGAGUUACCCUAGGGAUAACAGCGCAAUCCCCUUCUAGAGCCCCUAUCGACAAGGGGGUUUACGACCUCGAUGUUGGAUCAGGACAUCCUAAUGGUGCAGCCGCUAUUAAGGGUUUGUUUGUUCAGCA
rnacentral:rRNA from 1 species